UAGAAUUGAAAGAAUUAGAAUCAAAUUUUACAUAUAUAGUCUAAGAAUACAAAAAGGGAAAAAUACAGAAUCGAUCACAAAAAUAAGGUGUUAGAAUCUGCAACCACAACAAAGAAAGAAGAAACCAAGCUUAGAAACCAAAACCAUUGCUUCAAUGAUAGACAUGAUUCUGUAUUUCAAAGUUUCGAAAAACGACAUCUUCAGAUUCAGUCUCUUCCAUUUUAGUCCUCCAAGUCCCAACAAUUUCAGUCUCGUCCUUUCCUUUCUCGUCUUGAACAUCGAAAAGGUCCCUUUUCCCGUCAUCUAAAAUCUUGAGAUCCUUGUAUAAAGAGAAGUAUUACGUUUUUGUUUUGUUUUCU
rnacentral:lncRNA from 1 species